rnacentral:lncRNA from 1 species
AGAUUUUUAUAUAUAUCGAGCAGGAGGAGGCGAGAACGAAUCAUAUUCCUCGCCUAUUGCUUCUUCAAAACCCUUUCGCACCAGUGCUUCAAGGGCUUGGGGGGUAGUUGUUAUGCCCAAAUAUCAACUCAGUAGAUGAUUGCGUAGAUCUCGCCUCAAUUCACGGAAAAAGCCAAUCUCUGAGAUUGUCCUCGCCCAUUCUAUGGGCCUCGCCAUCUAUGAAGCCCAGGAAGUGAGGACCCAGUAACAUAUGGACCCAGGUCGACG